CCUACGGGCGGCAGCAGUGGGGAAUAUUGCGCAAUGGGCGAAAGCCUGAUCCAGCAACGCCGCGUGAAGGAAGAAGGCUUUCGGGUCGUAAACUUCUUUUAUGAGGGACGAAGGAAGUGACGGUACCUCAUGAAUAAGCCCCGGCUAACUACGUGCCAGCAGCCGCGGUAAUACGUAGGUGGCGAGCGUUAUCCGGAUUUACUGGGUGUAAAGGGUGAGUAGGCGGGCUUGUAAGUCAGAUGUGAAAACUAUGGGCUUAACCCGAAGCUUGCAUUUGAAACUGUAGUGCUUGAGUACAGGAGAGGCAAGCGGAAUUCCUAGUGUAGCGGUGAAAUGCGUAGAUAUUAGGAGGAACACCAGUGGCGAAGGCGGCUUUCUGGACUGUAACUGACGUUGAGGCACGAAAGCGUGGGGAGCAAACAGGAUUAGAUACCCGAGUAGUC
rnacentral:rRNA from 1 species